rnacentral:piRNA from 1 species
UGGUUUUGUGUCUCCUAGCCAUCAGAGUGA